UGGAUGAUGUGGAUUAAUUCGAUGCAACGCGAAAACCUUACCAACCCUUGACAUGUCCGGAAUCCGAAGAGAUUUGGGAGUGCUCGCGAGAGAACCCGGAACACAGGUGCUGCAUGGCUGUCGUCAGCUCGUGUCGUGAGAUGUUGGGUUAAGUCCCGCAACGAGCGCAACCCUUGUCUUUAGUUGCCAUCAUUAAGUUGGGCACUCUAAAGAGACUGCCGAUGACAAAUCGGAGGAAGGUGGGGAUGACGUCAAAUCAUCAUGCCCUUUAUGUCCUGGGCUACACACGUGCUACAAUGGUCGGUACAACGAGAAGCAAGUCAGCGAUGGCAAGCAAAUCUCUAAAAGCCGAUCCCAGUUCGGAUUGCAGGCUGCAACUCGCCUGCAUGAAGUCGGAGUUGCUAGUAAUCGCGGAUCAGAAUGCCGCGGUGAAUGCGUUCCCGGGUCUU
rnacentral:rRNA from 2 species